GAUGAACGCUGGCGGCGUGCCUAAUACAUGCCAGUCGAGCGAACGGACGAGAAGCUUGCUUCUCUGAUGUUAGCGGCGGACGGGGGAGUAACACGUGGAUAACCUACCUAUAAGACUGGGAUAACUUCGGGAAACCGGAGCUAAUACCGGAUAAUAUUUUGAACCGCAUGGUUCAAAAGUGAAAGACGGUCUUGCUGUCACUUAUAGAUGGAUCCGCGCUGCAUUAGCUAGUUGGUAAGGUAACGGCUUACCAAGGCAACGAUGCAUAGCCGACCUGAGAGGGUGAUCGGCCACACUGGAACUGAGACACGGUCCAGACUCCUACGGGAGGCAGCAGUAGGGAAUAUUGCGCAAUGGGCGAAAGCCUGACGGAGCAACGCCGCGUGAGUGAUGAAGGUCUUCGGAUCGUAAAACUCUGUUAUUAGGGAAGAACAUAUGUGUAAGUAACUGUGCACAUCUUGACGGUACCUAAUCAGAAAGCCACGGCUAACUACGUG
rnacentral:rRNA from 1 species